ACCUCGGGAGCUGUCAGUGCUGCGAUGGCUGUCGUCAGCUCGUGUCGUGAGAUGUUCGGUUAAGUCCGCUAACGAGCGCAACCCUCGCUGUGUGUUACAAGUGUCACACGGAACUGCCGGUCAUAAACCGGAGGAAGGUGGGGAUGACGUCAAGUCAGCAUGGCCUUUAUAUCCUGGGCUACACACACGCUACAAUGGGAAGGGACAAUAGGUUGCGAAGCCGCGAGGCGGAGCCAAUCCAGCAAAACUUCCCUCAGUUCAGAUUGCAGGCUGCAACUCGCCUGCAUGAAGUUGGAGUUGCUAGUAAACGCAGGUCAGCCAUACUGCGUUGAAUACGUUCCCGGGGCUU
rnacentral:rRNA from 1 species